CUGAAACAUCAGAAAAAGUAAAGAUAAUUUAAGGAAAAAUAUAAGGCAUGAUGGCACUGUUCUAGGCAUGAUGGAUAUGGAAAUUAACAAGUCAGAUGAGAUGCAUACCCUCUAGACACUCAUAUUCCAGUAAGAAGGACAGACGAUAAAGACAAAUAACCCUGGGCUUCGUCAGAAGGUGAGAAUUUUCUCCAACAAAAGUGGGAACACAAAGGACAUUCAAGAUAUCCCAAAGAUCUAUUAUCUAAUUUCAAAAUCAAAUCUUGCACUAUUUGGACUUUCAUUAUUUCAGUAA